rnacentral:rRNA from 1 species
AUUGAACGCUAGCGGGAUGCUUUACACAUGCAAGUAUAACCAGUGGCGGACGGGUGAGUAAUAUAUCGGAACGUUCCCAGUAGCGGGGGAUAACUACUCGAAAGUGUAGCUAAUACCGCAUCCUAUCGGAGUGGCCGAUAUCGGAUUAGCUAGUCGGUGGAGUAAAGGUUCACCAGGGCAACGAUCCGUCGCUGGUUUGAGAGGACGAGCAGCCAGACUGACAAUGCAACACGGCCCAGACUCCUACGGCAGGCAGCGGCGGGGAGUUGUGGACAAUGGGGGAAACGCGGAUCCAGCAAUCCCGAGUGUAUGAGAGGGCCUUCGGGUGGUAAAGUACUUUUAGCAGAGAAGCGGUAUCUGCAGAAUAAGCACGGAGUGACUACGUGCCAGAAGCCGCGGUAAUAC